GAUGAACGCUGGCGGCGUGCCUAAUACAUGCAAGUCGAGCGAACAGACGAGGAGCUUGCUCCUCUGACGUUAGCGGCGGACGGGUGAGUAACACGUGGAUAACCUACCUAUAAGACUGGGAUAACUUCGGGAAACCGGAGCUAAUACCGGAUAAUAUAUUUAACCGCAUGGUUCAAUAGUGAAAUACGGUUUUGCUGUCACUUAUAGAUGGAUGCGCGCCGCAUUAGCUAGUUGGUAAGGUAACGGCUUACCAAGGCAACGAUGCGUAGCCGAGCUGAGAGGGUGAUCGGCCACACUGGAACUGAGACACGGUCCAGACUCCUACGGGAGGCAGCAGUAGGGAAUCUUCCGCAAUGGGCGAAAGCCUGACGGAGCAACGCCGCGCGAGUGAUGAAGGUCUUCGGAUCGUAAAACUCUGUUAUUAGGGAAGAACAAAUGUGUAAGUAACUAUGCACGUCUUGACGGUACCUAAUCAGAAAGCCACGGCUAACUACGUG
rnacentral:rRNA from 1 species